CAGAUCCACCAGGAGAAACUGGUAGCCACGAUCACAGGAGUGGGGAGCAGGAAAAAAUUUCACCCCGCUUUUGGAUUUUUGAGUUGAAAAAGAACAUACCCUAAUGAAGAGAGUUGUGAGAAAUGAAGAGAGAAUUAGAGGAAAUCACCUUCGUCUUCUGGGACCCAGAACUGGGAGACAUAGAGGAUCAAAGUCGAGGACCAUUUGCCCAGCCCUGCCACAGAACCAGGUGUUCCUUUCAGGAUGAGAAAUCUGUCUGAGAAAGAGCCUGCAAGUAGCUCUUUGCAUGGUCUCUACGAGAGCUGCUAGAAUUAUAAAACAUUCUAACAAGAAGAAUCCUGAGAUACAAUUCUUAAAAUUAUUUUUAAUUGUGGUCAAAUACACAUGACAUAAAAUUUACCAUCUUAACCAUUGUUAAGUGUACAGUUCAGCGGCAUUAAGCACAUUCCCAUUGUUGUUCAACCUGCGUUACACCCAUCUCCAGAAUUCUUCUCAUCUUGCCAAAGUCAAACUCUGAACUCAUUAAACAGUAACUCCGCAUCCUCUCCUACCCCAAGCUCCUGGCAACCAGCGU
rnacentral:lncRNA from 1 species